CCUACGGGAGGCAGCAGUGAGGAAUAUUGGUCAAUGGCCGGAAGGCUGAACCAGCCAAGCCGCGUGAAGGAAGAAGGUGCCAAGCAUUGUAAACUUCUUUUGUCAAGGGACAAAAUCAGGCUCGAGAGCCUGAACGAGGGGACUUGCAGAAAAAGCAUCGGCUAACUAAGUGCAAGCAGCCGCGGUAAUACGGGGGAUGCGAGCGUUAUCGGGAUGUAUGGGGUGAAAAGGGUGCGUAGGCGGGCUGUUAAGUCAGCGGUAAAAGCCCGGGGCUCAACCCCGGCGAGCCGUUGAAACUGGCUGUCUUGAGAGGUCUAGAGGUAGGCGGAAUGCGCAGUGUAGCGGUGAAAUGCUUAGAUAUUGCGCAGAACUCCGAUUGCGAAGGCAGCAUACCGGCGGCGAUCUGACGCUGAGGCACGAAAGCGUGGGUAUCGAACAGGAUUAGAUACCCGUGUAGUC
rnacentral:rRNA from 1 species